ensembl:lncRNA
CCAUGAAGCCCAUCACCGCUCAGCCUCCGUCUCGGAUGCGUCCGAUUGUGCGAGAGACGCGAUGAUCCGAGACGUGGAAUGCAGCCAACGUUGUUUUUCAUCAAUGUUUUGUCAUUGUCUGCAGGAGCUAGGGCCAUUCCGUCCGAUAGUAGGCACGAAUGCGACGCAACUCCUGCUUGGAAUUACAUUUUCUUUUGUGCACCCAACGGGCUGUUAAUUUUUUUUUGAUGUGCGAUUAAUGGGAGAGGAAAACGGGUCGCCUUUAGCUCUGGGUUAGAGACUCGUAUUUGCAGAGUCUGGAUUCUCCAUGCGAUCAAGUUAUCUUUUUUUUUUUACCCGUGACCACUAAGAUAACGCUCCAAUGGCGUCAGUGUCAAAGGUAUCAAUUUUGGAUUACUUUAAUAUAGUCUUCGAAGGCGAAAAUGGCAAGAUCGAGUCCAACUGCAAGGCUUGUGGCACGAGAAUUCAGGCGAAGCGAAGUGUCACGUCCAACUUCGUAACGCAUCUCAAGCGCAAGCACCAGGCUAUGUAUGAUGAGUUUGUCAAAAGGAAAGACAUGAAGAGGGAGGAGUCGGGCGGCAGGAACGGGCACGGCGAGGGGUGGGAGGACGGGGAGGGGGAGCAGGGCCUGGGGGCGUCCCGGGUGGACUGCUUCUCCGACUCGCUGGACCGCUGCGUGGGGGGAGGGGCUGCACUCCUGCCCCCAGCUGCGCUCCGCCCUGGCCAAGGCCGCCUGCUUCUACAACUACAUCACCUCCGCCGUGCCGCCGGAGAAACUCAGGCAGGUGCUGGACGGGCCAGGGGGCGUGUCCGGGAAACCGGGCAGCUUCCUGCCCGAUAUCAAGGACUGGGCGUCUCAGCUUAAGGUCCUCCGUCAGCUGCUGGACUCGGUGGAGUUCCUGGAGGAGCUGAGCGGGCGCGGGGAGCUGGCGCUGUGCGACGAGGAGAGGGCCCAGCUGAGGGAGCUCAUCGACACGUUGGAGCCCUUCACCGAGGCCUGGGACAUGAUCCACUGGGACAGGCCGACGGACCGACACGUCUCCAUCAGCCUGGCCCUGCCCUGCGUCCUGGGCCUGCGCAAGCACCUCUCCGAGACCUCCACCCCCCACUGCCCCUCUCUCCUGGCGGGCUUGGCGCAGGCCGUGGAGCGGCGCCUCGCCCCCAUCCUGGAGGAUCCCCUCUACAUCAGCGUCACCACGCUGGACCCCCAGUUCAAGCUCACCUGGAGCAGCAACCCGGACUGGCACAGGCAGGUCCUCCUGGAGGAGCUGAGCAAGCAUGCCCCGCCCUCCCUGUCCGUCCACCCCCCCGCCGCCACGGAGAUCCACUCCCAGGCGCCCAGGUCCUCCCCGGCUCCGUCGCCCAUCUCCUCGCUGUCGCGGCCGUGCAAGCUGUUCUCCUUCAUCAAGCAGAGACCCACCAUGCAGGCCAAGAGCCUGGAGCAGGAGCUGGCGGGCUACCUGCGCGAGGAGCCCACCGACGAGGACCCCUUGCACUACUGGAGACGGAAGGCCAUCGACUUUCCCCUGUUGGCCCAAGUGGCCAAGAGGACCUUCACCAUACCGGCCAGUAGCACUGUAGUGUCCAGCAUUUUCACCACUGCCAGGCAAAAUCUACAGCUGGAGAGGGGUUGUGUGCUACCGAAACACUUGGAGACGCUCAUCUACCUCAAAGCAAAUUACAGAUUGUUAUGGACUUAGACUUGCACUGUGUGACACUAUUUUCUCGUGUUGCGAACCUGAACCUACUCUGAGGAUACUAACUGGUUUUCCACUGCACUUGGGACAUCCAACAUACACUAGGACAAUGCCACAAUACUCAGUUAUCUAUAUAUCAGUGGAUUGAAGCAAACAGUGAGCAUGGACGCAUCUGUUUCCAUUGUUGAGUGAGGUCAUCCAUAGGCUUUGUUAAACAGGUAUGCUGUUGUCUGGUCUUUUGACUAUGUAGCCUGCAUAUCGACUAUACCCCACUACAUGCUGCGGAUGAAGGAGACAAGACAUUAAUCAAUAGUAAAGCAUUUACUUUGACAUCAGCGACUGAACACAGUCUCCAGAUACAAACACAAGCCUGCUAAUACCCCUCUGUCACCCUCUCCUUCACAAACAAAGCUUGAGCCUGUAUGCCAUACAGAGAAUGCAGAUAAUAACGAAACGGUCGUUUCGAUGCAUUUAAUGCAGUUUAUCUACAUCAGAGCCUCGGAGCCCUCCAGGGUGACUGGUGGCUUUGAGGGAUGGAAGAUGUCCAACAAUAGCCAUCAUGACAUCAGGCCCACCCUCUCUCUGUGUAUCUGCUUUACCUUCCAAGGACAUCGUAAUAAAUCCCUUUUAAAUGCUAUGAAACUCUCUGUGCUUCGUGUUCCUGUAGAGGGGGAGAAGCUGAAGGAAACCAAGUGUUCUGUCUGGUUCUAGGCUCUAUAUACAAUUGAAAUGUAUGCAAUUAUUUC